GACGAACGCUGGCGGCGUGCUUAACACAUGCGAGUCGAACGGAAAGGCCCUGCUUUUGUGGGGUGCUCGAGUGGCGAACGGGUGAGUAACACGUGAGUAACCUGCCCUUGACUUUGGGAUAACUUCAGGAAACUGGGGCUAAUACCGGAUAGGAGCUCCUGCUGCAUGGUGGGGGUUGGAAAGUUUCGGCGGUUGGGGAUGGACUCGCGGCUGAUCAGCUUGUUGGUGGGGUAGUGGCUUACCAAGGCUUUGACGGGUAGCCGGCCUGAGAGGGUGACCGGCCACCUUGGGACUGAGAUACGGCCCAGACUCCUACGGGAGGCAGCAGUGGGGAAUAUUGCACAAUGGGCGGAAGCCUGAUGCAGCAACGCCGCGUGCGGGAUGACGGCCUUCGGGUUGUAAACCGCUUUCGCCUGUGACGAAGCGUGAGUGACGGUAAUGGGUAAAGAAGCACCGGCUAACUACGUG
rnacentral:rRNA from 1 species